CCAGCACCUGCGGUAAUUCCAGCUCCAAUAGCGUAUAUUUAAGUUGUUGCAGUUAAAAAGCUCGUAGUCGGAUUUCGGGCAGGUGUCAGCGGUCCGCCCUUUGGGUGAGUACUGCUGAUGCUUGCCUUUCUGUCGGGGACGGGCUCCUGGGCUUCACUGUCCGGGACUCGGAGUCGGCGAGGUUACUGUGAGUAAAUUAGAGUGUUCAAAGCAGGCCUACGCUCUGAAUACGUUAGCAUGGAAUAACAUGAUAGGACUCUGGCCUAUCUCGUUGGUCUGUAGGACCGGAGUAAUGAUUAAGAGGGAUGGUGGGGGGCAUUCGUAUUUCAUUGUCAGAGGUGAAAUUCUUGGAUUUAUGAAAGACGAACUACUGCGAAAGCAUUUGCCAAGGAUGUUUUCAUUAAUCAAGAACGAAAGU
rnacentral:rRNA from 1 species